rnacentral:rRNA from 1 species
UACGUAGGGUCCGAGCGUUGUCCGGAAUUAUUGGGCGUAAAGGGCUCGUAGGCGGUUCGUCACGUCGGGAGUGAAAACUCGGAGCUUAACUCCGAGCCUGCUUCCGAUACGGGCAGACUAGAGGUAGGCAGGGGAGAGCGGAACUCCUGGUGUAGCGGUGGAAUGCGCAGAUAUCAGGAGGAACACCAGUGGCGAAGGCGGUGCUCUGGGCCGGAACUGACGCUGAGGAGCGAAAGCGUGGGGAGCAAACAGG